UGAUAUUUCAGAACAGAAUCUAGUUCCUUCGAUACCAAUGUAAUCUAAUAAUAUGAAGGUAUCGAAGGAACUAGAUUCUGUUCCGAAAUAUCACU